CUCACACACUGUUUGGCUUUUCCUCUACGAGUUCAUUCUUUGAACCCAGACUGCACGUCCUCAGGAUCGGUCGCUCUCACCUGCCCCAUAACUCAAGGGAAGGUUCCCUAGACAUAAUAGAGGCCGAAAGCAGACACUCCCCAGACACCACAAGGGACCCGCAUGGCUAAAUGUGACGCUGACCUCACUGGCUUCAUAGACACAGCUUGGCCCGUCUUGUACUGCAUGUCCCAGUGGUUAAAUGACCAACCCCCCCAACGAGAACCAGGAAGUAGCAUGCGAACUAACAAACCAACACACAAACAAAAAUAUGCCAAUCAACUAUAUAUUUUCUCUUUUUUAAAUUUGAGUCACUAUACAUCCUAGAAUAAAAAAUGGUAUGCUCC